CUAAGAAAGGAAUAAACGAGAGAUGCUUCUUCUAACAGUAAUUUCACUCACCUUUUAGGUUUAAAGUUUGUUGUGUGUCUUUCAGUAUGUUGAAGAGAUCGUUAGGAUUAGGAACUUGGUCCACAAAAUAGGAAAGAGUGAGGCUGUCACAGCAUGACCUAGUCAAGGUUAGGGUUACUUACUCUCUCUUCUUUCCAUUCAAAAGAAAGCUCUCUAACCAAAGUUUAGAUCAUGCUGGCAGCUUCACUUUUUCCUUUGUGAACUUUCAUCUUCAUCUCCAGCAAUAGUUAUGCAUCAACUUCACUCUCUCUAGGUUUAUAUGGUUUUUUUUUUGUGUGUCAAAAGAAGUAGAAAAUAAAUACCUAUUGUAGCACAAAGAAUGAAAAAGAGAAUAGAUUCAGGUAUCUAAACCUAACUCAAAGGAGAAAGAAAAAAGAGAAGGUGCAAGAAAGUCAUGUGCUUUCAUUUUAACACUAUUUGUAAGCAUAGAAAGAACUAGGAAGGCGAAGAAUCCAAUGGAAUGGAAAGGAAAAACCAAAGAAGAAAACAAGAAUAUUACUACAAACUAUGAUAAAGAAUCUAGAUUUGGAGAAUAUAUAUAUAUAUAGAAGCAAAGAAAGAAAGAAUGGGACAUAUGUAAUAAAGGAGGUAGAUACUAUAGUAAAGGAGGAAUCAUAAAGACAUAACCCAUCUUGUGAAACAGUGAAUUUAAAAGGAAAGGAUUUAACAUGCAGAGUUUGGAAGAAAAGGAAGAAAUUGAAUUCAAAAUAAAAACAGCUAAGAAUGCUAUAAAGGGAAUAGCAGAUGCAUGAUGAUUGAUCAAGAGGAGCGAGCUGUCUUAUAGCAAUAGGUUAGAGUAAGAGUAGUAUAGUAUAGGUCAGAUUUUAUAUUAUGCAGAGAGCUGCUAUUUAAGAGUCUUGUAGCUAGAGACUAGAGUAGAACACAGUGGGGGAUCCUUUCUCUCUUUUUCCCACCUAUUCAACCUAGAGUUGUGUUAUUUGAACAUACAUUUAUCUAAUAAUUUUUUGAGAUAAUCAAAAUUUUACAAAGAAAAUAAAGUAUUAGCACAAAAAUUAAAAUAAUAGAGAGAAAAA
rnacentral:lncRNA from 1 species